GAAUACUCAUGAGUCAAACAGGCUUCUCAAUUGUUAUCCCAAAUGAAAGAAGAGACUAGCCCUUUAUGGUUCAUUUAGCACCCAGGAAAGUGGUCAGUUCAGAAGCUCAACACUGGCCUAUUUCAAGAACCAAGGAAAAUGUCCAUCCAGUCACUGAGCACAAAGACAUUAGCCCCAAAAUAUUUGAAGGAUAAUUAGAACUUUCUUCUCUGACAUUCUACAAACACUAUUUUCAUGAUGCCACCAAUGUACACUUUUGCACCUCCCUGCUUUGUAAGUGCAUCUGAGGAUUAAGGUACAUUCAAGACCUGCCCUUCUGUAGAACGUACUUGCUGGAAGACAUAAAUACACGAUGACUAGAUAAGAGCAUUGGACUCUAUUAUUAGUCACAGGUUUUUCUAGGAGUCAUGGAUUUUCUCCUUGCCACAAAUUCCUAUGAUGGUGUAGCUAAUUGAGACCUUGAAUCAUCUAGUGCCCUCCCCCAUUCCAUUCAUCUGAGGCCAAGAAGGCGACUACCAACUACACCAUCAAGUGCAUUUCAAACCAUAAUGAAGGGACUGUAGACAGUCACACAUUUCCCAAGAUGAAAAACACUUAACAUGGAACCACUUUAAAUCAGCCUCUGCCUUCUUCAAAUGCGAAUACUCUUAUCGCUCCAACCUGGAUGCUUUGGCUGUGACAUUUAGAGCAGAGAUGACUUUUCUAAACUACACCAACUUGUGAUAUGACUCAAUAUAUUCAACCUGCUCCUGCUCAAGCUGGUUAUAUGGGCAGCAAUAAGAAGAAAAUGAUGUUGCCAACAGUCAUUAAAUUGCUUAUAAAUACCAUCAGGAUUCAGUUAAUAGAAUACACAAUUUUAUUAAUGUCAUAUAUCUAUGAUCUUUCAAUAAAUUAUAAAAGUCAGCUACCUGACAUUGUAUGGUAUGAUGCACACAUGGAUAACCCUAGUAUGGCCUUUCUGUAACCACAGCUGUUGCACUGUAA
rnacentral:lncRNA from 1 species